GGGAGGGCGCUGUGCAGGACGCCGACACGAAAAGAUGAAGAGUUCAAUCCGUGCUGUCUGAACUCACAGUGUAGCGGGCGAGAUAGACGGGAAGAUCGGUAGGGUGGGAGAUGCCGGAAAGGCUUCCCGUGAAACUGGAUAAGAAAUCAAAAAUCUGGUGAAAUUGCCGGCAGGAGGGAGUUAAGGACAUUCCAGGCAGAGGCAAGUCCAGAUUCCUAAGAUGAGGACACAGCAUCCUGGGCCACUGUCACUAAUACAAAUUUGCCUCUGGAGGGACUCUACGGAAGAUAAUUCCCCUGAAAUUUGGAGAGUUGAAUUAAGCUAGGACUGAUUCUGGCUGGAAUUUGUGGUGGCUACGUACCCUAGAGGGCCUCAAGGAAACCCACGGUUCAAGACAACCCUGACAGAUUCUGGAGUCUAGAACAGAAAUGGAUUUGAACAUGGGCAAGGCCAACCACCCAGUUCACGGCCUGUGUACAGCAAAGAUUACAUUACAGCCUGAGAGCUAAGCCUGGAAGCUCUUUCAUCCAUCCGUUUGUCCAUCUAUCCAUCCAUCUGCUCAUCCAUCCCUCCAUCUGCUCAACAAAUGUUAGAGAAUCAAUCCUUGUGUCAGAUACUGGGGCUGCCCUCAAGGAGCUUUUGUAGAGUUCAGGGUACAGCCAGGUGGGGGAGACAGAUCACUAUAAAAACCUACCACUAUAAUCCAAAGGACAAGAGCAAAAAUAGUAAAGAGGAGAGAAGACCCAAAUUUGCCUGGUGGGUCAGAGACGGCUUUCUAGAAGAGGUAAAAAAUCUUCGGGGCUAUCACUUCACCUUGCCUGGUGGAUAAAGGGAGGACUUUCCAGAUACAGUGGACAGAAUGUGCAGAGGCAGGAGCCAUGAGUGGCAGAGGCAGGGGAGGGACUGCAGAGACAGGUUGGAGCCAAAGCACGAUGGCACUGGAGCCAUAGCCAAAGGAACAAACUGUGAGACCUGGGACUUGAAUUUGGAGGUGGUGAAAAGUGACAAGGUCUUCACAGAAGAGUGAUUUUUUCAACUUAGGGAAGGCUGACCCCAGACCAAUGCUGCCAAAGUGUGGUCUGUGGGCUGUUAGCAGUUCAUGACGAUGUAAGUACAGGAAUUGAGAGUAAGCAUUUAGAACACCUACAGCACUGUGAUAGUCAUUUUACUUUUUAA
rnacentral:lncRNA from 1 species